rnacentral:rRNA from 1 species
GACGAACGCUGGCGGCGUGCUUAACACAUGCAAGUCGAACGGAAAGGCCCUGCUUUUGUGGGGUGCUCGAGUGGCGAACGGGUGAGUAACACGUGAGUAACCUGCCCUUGACUUUGGGAUAACUUCAGGAAACUGGGGCUAAUACCGGAUAGGAGCUCCUGCUGCAUGGUGGGGGUUGGAAAUUUUCGGCGGUUGGGGAUGGACUCGCGGCUUAUCAGCUUGUUGGUGGGGUAGUGGCUUACCAAGGCUUUGACGGGUAGCCGGCCUGAGAGGGUGACCGGCCACAUUGGGACUGAGAGACGGCGCAGACUCCUACGGGAGGCAGCAGUGGGGAAUAUUGCACAAUGGGCGGAAGCCUGAUGCAGCAACGCCGCGUGCGGGAUGACGGCCUUCGGGUUGUAAACCGCUGUCGCCUGUGACGAAGCGUGAGUGACGGUAAUGGGUAAAGAAGCACCGGCUAACUACGUG